CUGGCGGCGUGCUUAACACAUGCAAGUCGAACGGGAUUUAGUAGACAGAAGCCUCGGUGGAAGAUUACUAAUGAGAGUGGCGAACGGGUGAGUAACGCGUGAGCAACCUGCCUAUGACAGUGGGAUAGCCUCGGGAAACCGGGAUUAAUACCGCAUAAAAUCGUAGAAACACAUGUUUUAGCGGUCAAAGAUUUAUAGGUCAUAGAUGGGCUCGCGUCUGAUUAGCUAGUUGGUGAGAUAACAGCCCACCAAGGCGACGAUCAGUAGCCGGUCUGAGAGGAUGAACGGCCACAUUGGAACUGAGACACGGUCCAAACUCCUACGGGAGGCAGCAGUGGGGAAUAUUGCACAAUGGGGGAAACCCUGAUGCAGCGACGCCGCGUGAACGAAGAAGGUAUUCGUAUCGUAAAGUUCUGUCCUAUGGGAAGAUAAUGACAGUACUAUAGAAGAAAGCUCCGGCUAAAUACGUGCCAGCAGCCGCGGUAAUACGUAUGGAGCGAGCGUUGUCCGGAAUUAUUGGGCGUAAAGGGUACGCAGGCGGUUUAAUAAGUCGAAUGUUAAAGAUCGGGGCUCAACCCCGUAAAGCAUUGGAAACUGAUAAACUUGAGUAGUGGAGAGGAAAGUGGAAUUCCUAGUGUAGUGGUGAAAUACGUAGAUAUUAGGAGGAAUACCAGUAGCGAAGGCGACUUUCUGGACACAAACUGACGCUGAGGUACGAAAGCGUGGGGAGCAAACAGGAUUA
rnacentral:rRNA from 2 species